AUACGGAGGAUCCGAGCGUUAUCCGGAUUUAUUGGGUUUAAAGGGUGCGCAGGCGGCCAUUUAAGUCAGCGGUUAAAUCGUGGGGCUCAACCCCAUUCUGCCGUUGAUACUGGGUGGCUUGAUUGCGGUCGAGGUUGGCGGAAUUCGUUGUGUAGCGGUGAAAUGCAUAGAUAUGACGAAGAACACCGAUUGCGUAGGCAGCUGACCAGAACGCAAAUGACGCUCAUGCACGAAAGGGCGGGGAUCGAACAGGAUUAGAUACCCUGGUAGUCCGCACAGUAAACGAUGAAUACUCGCUGUGUGCGAUACACUGUAAGCGGCCAAGCGAAAGCGUUAAGUAUUCCACCUGGGGAGUACGCCGGCAACGGUGAAACUCAAAUGAAUUGGCGGGG
rnacentral:rRNA from 1 species